rnacentral:rRNA from 1 species
ACGCUGGCGGCGUGCUUAACACAUGCAAGUCGAACGGAAAGGCCCUGCUUUUGUGGGGUGCUCGAGUGGCGAACGGGUGAGUAACACGUGAGUAACCUGCCCUUGACUUUGGGAUAACUUCAGGAAACUGGGGCUAAUACCGGAUAGGAGCUCCUGCUGCAUGGUGGGGGUUGGAAAGUUUCGGCGGUUGGGGAUGGACUCGCGGCUUAUCAGCUUGUUGGUGGGGUAGUGGCUUACCAAGGCUUUGACGGGUAGCCGGCCUGAGAGGGUGACCGGCCACAUUGGGACUGAGAUACGGCCCAGACUCCUACGGGAGGCAGCAGUGGGGAAUAUUGCACAAUGGGCGGAAGCCUGAUGCAGCAACGCCGCGUGCGGGAUGACGGCCUUCGGGUUGUAAACCGCUUUCGCCUGUGACGAAGCGUGAGUGACGGUAAUGGGUAAAGAAGCACCGGCUAACUACGUGCCAGCAGCCGCGGUGAUACGUAGGGUGCGAGCGUUGUCCGGAUUUAUUGGGCGUAAAGGGCUCGUAGGUGGUUGAUCGCGUCGGAAGUGUAAUCUUGGGGCUUAACCCUGAGCGUGCUUUCGAUACGGGUUGACUUGAGGAAGGUAUGGGAGAAUGGAAUUCCUGGUGGAGCGGUGGAAUGCGCAGAUAUCAGGAGGAACACCAGUGGCGAAGGCGGUUCUCUGGGCCUUUCCUGACGCUGAGGAGCGAAAGCGUGGGGAGCGAACAGGCUUAGAUACCCUGGUAGUCCACGCUGUAAACGGUGGGUACUAGGUGUGGGGUCCAUUCCACGGGUUCCGUGCCGUAGCUAACGCUUUAAGUACCCCGCCUGGGGAGUACGGCCGCAAGGCUAAAACUCAAAGGAAUUGACGGGGCCCCGCACAAGCGGCGGAGCAUGCGGAUUAAUUCGAUGCAACGCGUAGAACCUUACCUGGGUUUGACAUGGAUCGGGAGUGCUCAGAGAUGGGUGUGCCUCUUUUGGGGUCGGUUCACAGGUGGUGCAUGCCUGUCGUCAGCUCGUGUCGUGAGAUGUUGGGUUAAGUCCCGCAACGAGCGCAACCCUUGUUCACUGUUGCCAGCACGUUAUGGUGGGGACUCAGUGGAGACCGCCGGGGUCAACUCGGAGGAAGGUGGGGAUGACGUCAAGUCCUCAUGCCCCUUAUGUCCAGGGCUUCACGCAUGCUACAAUGGCUGGUACAGAGAGUGGCGAGCCUGUGAGGGUGAGCGAAUCUCGGAAAGCCGGUCUCAGUUCGGAUUGGGGUCUGCAACUCGACCUCAUGAAGUCGGAGUCGCUAGUAAUCGCAGAUCAGCAACGCUGCGGUGAAUACGUUCCCGGGGCUUGUACACACCGCCCGUCAAGUCAUGAAAGUUGGUAACACCCGAAGCCGGUGGCCUAACCGUUGUGGGGGAGCCGUCGAAGGUGGGACUGGUGAUUAGGACUA